AGAGAUGAGUAUGAAUUUAUGGGGUAGUGAGAGAAGUUUAUAUAAAUAGAUACUGCAUUAAUUGAGAGGUCAA